rfam:Gossypium arboreum cultivar AKA8401 contig_18948_7, whole genome shotgun sequence.
AACCCAUGGUGAGGGCACCUUCUCAAUAAAUCCUUAUACCUCUCUCAUUCAUCAUAUAAAAUCUCUAAAUCCAUUUGUACAAAGAAAGAGAUAUCAUUCCUCAAUUU